AGCCACAGACAGAGAGAUGUUUGUCGGAGUGCGUUGGAGAUCACAGGAGAACACACUUGGAUGUCAUUCUGACCAGGAGAUCGAGGCAUGCUUGAGGGACUCUUAGAGUUCGUAGAACAUUCUUCAAUUGACUGGGUACGCAACGAGGGAGUUGCAACGGGACUGUAGUGCAACAGAAGAGGAGUGGCAGAACCCUUUUCUGUGUUCUGCCAGAAGAACAGUCCUCCCUUCCUCACCCAACGGGAUACCAAAACGGACUGCAGUUCUAAUCGGAGUUGCGACUCUUCAUCUCCCCCUGGCUGGAGGACUCUGUCUGUGCAACGGUGCCCCGUACCAGGUUGCUGCUUUGCUGGUAGGGAGUCUCUCUUAGCUCAGGACAAGACGGAGCUGCGUUGAUCAGGUCUGGCCAGGCUGUUAGGCGCUCUCCCUCUCCAAAUCAAGUAAUUUGUUAUUAAAUUUUAGUUUAGAUGAGCACAGAUUAUAUUACUGUUUCCACAAUAAUCAGGUUAAAUCAAAAUGAAAGUAAUUAUGAGUGAACAAUCAAUUGCUGUUGCUUAGCCCAUGCGUGAAGAGUUGCAAUAAAUAUAUAACCUUGCAUUUAAAGACAAUAUGGACUGAAAUUUUAUUGAGUCAUUUUAUGUAUCUGAUGGUGGUAAAAAGUUAGACAAUUGUGUGCACAUGAUCUUUAGUGGUUCUCAACGGUUAAUCUAAGUUGAAGUAAAAUAGAAUAUUUAAACAUAUCCCUGGGGUUAGUAGUGCCAAACCUCUAAAAUCAAACCUAGCAACUUACCAAGUGCUCGUUCCAUUAAGAGGAAAGCUGCCACCAACAGGCGUGUCUAGUGGGUGAUUCAGCUACUGAGGCUACUUAGUUGGGUUGCCUAUUAGAAGAAGCGGGGUAAACGUCUGGAUUUAGGCAGUCAGAAGCUAGGCGAGUUUCCUCGACACCAGCUUAAGCAGUUCCAUAGAAUCCUAUUAGGUCAAGGGCCUGUAGGCAGUUAGAACUUAACCCUAGUAACGGAGAGCUGGACUAGUAGCCCUGUACGGGGUAAUACCGGUGCGGAAUAACAAAAGGUGCCUGGCUUUAUUAUCCGGAGCACACCACGAACUAUCUCUGAGUCAUGGAAGCCUUCUUUAAUCCCUUCCUCCAUUUGCUUAUCAUCUCGGUUCUUAACAACAGUAUCAAUAGCGUCCUUUAAGACCAACAAUUCAACCAUCCCACUGUCCUCUAAUUCUAACAAACGCUUAGUGUACAUAAAAGAACUGAUGUAGUCAAAGCAGCCUUCUUGGUCUACCUUCUGAAGUUCUGACGAUUCCCGAUCUGGCACUGGACCCACUUCUUUAGCGAUCUGGAAGAGCUCUGAUCCCAAGCCCCCCCUCUACAUCAACGGCAAGUGUGUGGAGAGGGUCUACACCUUCCGGUUCCUUGGCGUCCUCAUCUCCGCUGACAUCUCCUAGACAGACAACACCACGGCAAUAAUCAAGAAGGCGCAGCAGCGGCUUCACCUCCUGAGGGUCCUCAAGAAGCACAACCUGACCCCCACCCUGCUGCUGACCUUCUAUCGCUCGUCCAUUGAGAGCCUACUGACCUACUGUAUCACAGUGUGGUACGGUAGCUGCACCAUGGCAGACCGGGAGAGGCUUCAGAGAGUUGUAAAGGCAGCCCAGAAGAUCAUCGGCUGCCCUCUCCCCUCCCUGAUGGACAUCUACACCUCCCGCUGCCUCAGUAGAGCGAAAAACAUCAUCAAGGACAACUCCCACCCUGGUUCUGCCAUGUUUGACCUGCUGCCCUCAGGGAGGCGCUACAGGUGCAUCAGAACCAAAACAAACAGACUCAAGAACAGCUUCUUCCCAAAAGCCAUCACCACUCUGAACUCACAAAUGCACUGACAUCACAGAAGCACCGCGCUUCUUCCCAGAUUGCUUCUGAAGAGAGCUCGAGGCGUGCGUUCUCUCACCGGCCCCAGGUGCAACCGGAACAAACAAAGGUUCCGCUUCAUUGCUACAUAAACACGACUGGUAUUCCUCUAACCCCGUCGGUGCAACACAAUCAAUUUGGACCUGAAUAUUACAAAUAAAUGCAUACAAUAUGAAAAA